AGAGAGAGACAUGCGCGCAUAUCAAUAAGCGGAGGAAAAGAAACUAACAAGGAUUCCCCUAGUAACGGCGAGUGAAGCGGGAAGAGCUCAAAUUUGAAAUCUUAAAGGGUUUCCCUUUACGAAUUGUAGUUUAAAGAAGUGUUUUCUGUUGAGGUUUUGGUAAAAGUUCUUUGGAAUAGGACAUCAUAGAGGGUGAGAAUCCCGUAUUUGACCUUUACUUUCAACUUUGUGAUACACUUUCAAAGAGUCGGAUUGUUUGGGAAUGCAGUCCAAAAUGGGUGGUAAAUUUCAUCUAAAGCUAAAUAUUGGCGAGAGACCGAUAGCGAACAAGUACCGUGAGGGAAAGAUGAAAAGAACUUUGAAAAGAGAGUUAAACAGUACGUGAAAUUGUCAAAAGGGAAGCGUUUGACACCAGUGUUGUUUUUCUGAAAAUCAAUUAAAGAACUGUUUAUGCUAAGCUGUUUAGACUUUAUCAGCUAUCUGUUUAGUUUUGAGCUUUUCUUUAAUGCACUUUUCAGUUAACAAGUCAACAUCAAUUUCUUUUGCUGUAAAAAAGCUUGAGGAAGGUGGCUUGAGACUCGUCUUAAGUGUUUAUAGCCUCUUGCCUAUGCAGUCGGAGAGAUUGAGGUCUGCAGCGUAGAUCCUUCGGGGCUAAAUGCAUUUGUGCUAAGUUAUAGCAUUUUAUAGACAACUUGUUGACUAUGAUUUGUCUUGUAGCUUACUCGCUUAUGUUAUUUUACCUACGCUUAGGAUGUUGACGCAUGAGAUAUACGC
rnacentral:rRNA from 1 species